AAAAAGAAAACUGACAAUAGACAACAUUUAUUUGUACGAACACACAUACGCAGUAUACCAGGAUCUAACAAUAAACCAAGUUGUUUGUAAGAAUAAGGAACUAUUAUUGAGGAGUUGUGAUGACCAGGUAGGAGCUGGAAACUGUCAACUUUUCCUUUUCUUAGUUCAAUUCAAAAACAAUUACGUGGAGUGAAAAAAAUUGUACCCAUAUAUCAUGUAUAUCUUAAUGGUAAUCCCUGUCUUCUGCAAAAUUGCCUAGCAGUAUGAAGGUAACAUUGACUAGAACAUUACCACACGUUUGUUUGUAAACAUUAAAGCGCCUUAAUAACAUGGACAAACAGAAUUUAAAAGAACCGUCCCACCUCAAUGCAGACGAAGUUGUGAUAUUGUAGUUAGGAAAAUUAGCUUUAUUACUCUAACAAAUACCUAGAACAUUUGUCCAUAAAGUUAGUGAAUCGGCAGAGUAUCAUCCAAAAUUCAAUUUAUUUAUCGGAAUUAUUACUCAAAGUAAGAUAUGUAUAUAAACUACAGUUUUAGACUUUAAUUGAUUUUAAGUUCAGAAGUGCAAAGUUUACUUUCACUUUGUUCAACGACAAUAAAAAAAAGAUUUUCAAACAAACAAAUUAUUUAAAAUUAUUAAUUGAAUAUAUGUGUAAAUGAGUUUUUAUUAGAACUUAUUUAAAUAAUAAUUUAAGGGCGAUAAAUUAAACGGAGGAAGAUCUAAUUACUUUUCAUAUUUUUCUUUUUAAACAUGUCUCACAUGUCAGUUUUAUUUUGGUGUGGAAUUCAAAUUUUCAUAGACUGAAGAUAUAUUUUUACAGAAAGAUAGAAAUCCAUUAAAUUAUGUACCAUUGUUUAUUAUAGGUACACUCUCAAAGCAUUACAAAGAUUAAGUCUGGAAUGGAAAGUGACAUAAUCAGAAACCGCAACACUUAAAAAAUUCUUUAAUUAACAGUUGAUAAACUCAAAAUGUAUUUCAACAAUGACCCCUUAACACUUAAACAAAAGCUUAAAAUCGUGCUGGUAUAUAAAAAAGAGGCGAGUAAUACAUAUAUAUGUAUUUAUGUAUUCACCCAUAUACAUACAACGGGUACAAAGGACAUUGAUCCAUUCAUUCAGCUGGUAAAGAAUGCAUGAUAUCAGAACAUAAUAAAAUGUAAGACCACACAUGAAUAAACGCAAAAAAACAAAAUAUGUUUUCGUGCUUACCCUAUUGGCAAGUUGACUGUGCUCAUUUUUUGUCUUGUCUUGUUAAUAUGGUGUUUGAGUAAGGAAUAUCAUUGUCAUAAUAAACACAAAUCUUUUGUCUUUUUUAAAAACAACUACCAUCGGAAAAUAUUUUUCAUUAAGGUUUGUCUUAAAAGCUAGAUUUAUAAUAGUUAUAUCAUGAAGGGGCUGCUUCUAUAACAGUUUCAAUCGGUAUUUUUUGUCAGAUAUUAAAAACACUUUGUGACCGGUUUUCAACAGAUGGUCAGUUAUACCUUGCAUUUUGUAGCUGAUCACAUCUUUACUCAGGUAACUCCCUACGGAAAGUUCAUAUAUUAUUUUACUGCUAUUUUCAGAAUUCAUAGGACACCGAAUUACAGAAGAAAAUGGCGUAAAUGACCUGCUUUUGAUAAACCAUCACCAGUAGAAUUAGUAUAAACAGAUAAAGCAAUGAAUUUUGGAACGAAAUUACUUAAAGAACCAUUAGUUUUUGGUAUCUCUGUAUCAUUUCUGUUAUAUGAAUACUUCAGAUAUAAAAGCGAACAGAUCCAGGAUGAAAAAAGAAAGACGGAAAUAGCAAAGCUUCAAAAAACAAUACAUGAAUGUGGAUUAGUAACAGAACAAAAUGAAGUCGAAAUCAAAAGUCUAAGAAGAAAAAUGAUUCAAUUUGAGGACAGAAAUUGGACUUAAGAAAAUACAUUUUCUAUCUUAUUAUAAUAAUGAUCGAUGCAAUAUACUUGUUUUAUAUAUCUUGAGCCAGUCUUAUACUUGAUUGAUACUUUAUGUUUCAAUAGUAUGGAAACAAAUAUUGAUAACGCACAACUUCAGGGAGAUUAUACUUUAAAUAUUUCCUUUAUAUGUUUAAGGAGCGCUCGUCUGGAUGGUCAAGUCAUGAUUGAAAAUAUCAUUAUAAGACUUUAACAAUUUCGGC
rnacentral:lncRNA from 1 species